rnacentral:misc_RNA from 1 species
UGAUGCUGGGGCGAGGGAUGAGAUAUUGGAGUCCUGCCGGAGGGUUCUCAAGUCCUCAGGGUUCCGAUUCAUGGAUGACUGGGCCACUGUGAUACCAGGUGCUGAUGAAGGUAUUUAUGCAUGGGUUACUGCAAAUUAUGCUCUUGGUACUCUUGGAGGAGAUCCAAAAAGAACCAUUGGGAUUAUUGAACUUGGCGGGGCUUCGGCG